UGAGGUCUUCUACUUCAAGAUGUGAUUCAUUUGAACAAAAAUUUGUGUCAGGGAAGAUGACUAGAGGGAGUUUACCCUUGGACAUCAAAACAAGGUGGAAUUCUACAUACUUAAUGUUGUCAAGAGCUAUUGAUUUUAGAGUGGCAUUUGAUAGAAUGGAGGCAGAAGACAAGAUGUACAAUGACUACUUCAAUGAGGUUGAGAAUGGGAAAAAAAAGAUUGGGCCUCCUACAAGAGCUGAUUGGAAUGUCGUAGAAAGGUUAGUUAGAUUUCUAAUCAUUUUCUACAAUUAUACUUUGGUUGUGUCUGCUUCAACUUCAGUUGCUUCUUAUUAGUGUUAUGGAGAGAUAGUGACUAUAGAGAGGAAUUUGAUGUCACUAAGCAAUAGUAUUGAUAGUGACUUGAAAUCAAAAGCGGAUGCUAUGUUGCUGAAGUUUGAUAAGUACUGGGAUGGAAUGAGAAACAUCAAUGUUUUUCUGAUUGUUGCAAGUGUGUUCGAUCCACGCAAAAAAAUGCAAUUUGCUAAGAUGUGCUUUGACAAGCUUUAUGGGAAAGACACAACUGAUUCUAAGGAGAUGAGUGAAUCAAUCACAACCUUUUUGACAUCUUUGUUUAAAGAGUAUAGCAAUCAUCUCCAGAAAGUACCAAGUGGUCAAUCAUCACAGUCUUCUACUCAGACAUCAACUUCUCUUAGCCAAGGUGAGUCCACUGAUUUAAUGUCUGAUAGUAUGGGGUAUGAGAGAAUGGACUUUGCGUAUAAGGAGUUGGUUGAUGAGAUUGGGGUUGAUGAUGGUAGGGAUGAGUUGGAUGUAUACUUGAAGGAAAAAGUUGAAAAUCCUAGAACUAUUGUUGGAUCAGAGUGGGACGUAUUGUCUUGGUGGAGGCUCAAUAGUGGUAGUUAUCCUGUUUUGUCAGAAAUAGCUAGGGAUGUUCUUGCAAUGCAGGUGUCAUCAGUUGCAUCUGAAAGUGCAUUUAGUACUUGUGGGAGGGUCAUAUAGCCACACAGAAGUUGUUUAACGCAUUACAUGGUAGAAGUUUUGAUAUGCACGCAACAGUGGAUGAAGAAUAAGAAUCACUUAGGUGAGAAAGCAGUUGUUAUGAAUACACAAUUGCUUGCCGACAUUGAACUGCUUGAUAAACUUGAAAAAGAGUUUGAAUGUCAAGACUUAAACUAGAAGACUUGCAUAAACACAUCACUCGAAUGGACAUGAAGAAGUUGUAGUAUGGGACUAAGAAGAAGCUUGAGGAGGUCGUUGUUGAUGGCUUGCAUUGGAGGUCGUUAAUGCAAGAUCAUCUUUUAUCUUUCUGCUUAUCUUUUGUUCUUUUGGAUGGUGCUCUACUUUGGUUUCAAAUUUUAGGAUGGUGAUUUACUUUGGUUUUAUCUUUCUACUUGGCUUUGUUAUUUUGGAUGGUGAUUUACCUUUUUAGGAUGU